AGUGAACGCUGGCGGUAGGCCUAACACAUGCAAGUCGAACGGCAGCACAGGAGAGCUUGCUCUCUGGGUGGCGAGUGGCGGACGGGUGAGGAAUACAUCGGAAUCUACCUUUUCGUGGGGGAUAACGUAGGGAAACUUACGCUAAUACCGCAUACGACCUACGGGUGAAAGUGGGGGACCGCAAGGCCUCACGCGAUUAGAUGAGCCGAUGUCCGAUUAGCUAGUUGGCGGGGUAAUGGCCCACCAAGGCGACGAUCGGUAGCUGGUCUGAGAGGAUGAUCAGCCACACUGGAACUGAGACACGGUCCAGACUCCUACGGGAGGCAGCAGUGGGGAAUAUUGGACAAUGGGCGCAAGCCUGAUCCAGCCAUACCGCGUGGGUGAAGAAGGCCUUCGGGUUGUAAAGCCCGUUUUGUUGGGAAAGAAAUCCUGUCGGUUAAUAACCGGUGGGGAGUGACGGUACCCAAAGAAUAAGCACCGGCUAACUUCGUGCCAGCAGCCGCGGUAA
rnacentral:rRNA from 1 species